UAUGCUGCGAGGGCGUUUACCUCGAUAGAUGUUGAAAAUGCCCACAGCAUUAUAAAUCAUUUGGACCGCCGAGGGGUCCAAAACUCCUCAAUCGAAGAGCUUAGUAGACAUGCCAGCAACCUACAGAGACUUCAAAUUCUCAGGAAACCUCUCUAGGACGGAAGCUUUAUACUCCGACAUCCACAAUUUACCACGCCCCUGAGAUCGACAAAGGUCUUUCUGAUAGAUUGACUUCCAGCCAAUUCGAUCUAUCGAAGCCGAGUGGGAAGAACAAAGAACUGAAACCCCAUGGUCGCAACGAUUCUCCUCGCGGACAAGGGAGAGUUAGGGCCAUCGGUGGUCACAAGACUGGAUAAUAUUUAUUUUUUAAGCGUUGAGGUUGUCACGAAAGCGUACUGUAACGGGACUAUCAGAUUUGAGUGAUUUGAUUUUGUGAUUUGCAGUUCACGUGAUUUUAUUGUGAUUUUAGACUGUAAAAACUAUAAA